GGAAGUGAACCAUCUCAGUACCCGCAGGAAGAGAAAACAACAGUGAUUCCGCUAGUAGCGGCGAGCGAACGCGGAACAGCCCAAACCGGAGUGCUUGCAUUCCGGGGUUGUAGGGCCUGUCAGGCCGCAAGGCCGGCGAGUGAGCAACCAGCACGGUAGUCGAACGACCUGGAACGGUCGGUCACAGAGGGUGAGAACCCCGUAGACGAAACUGCGCUGGCUCGCUGGACAGGUUCCUGAGUACCACGGGACACGAGAAAUCCCGUGGGAAUCUGCGAGGACCAUCUCGCAAGGCUAAAUACUCUCUAGCGACCGAUAGUGAACCAGUACCGUGAGGGAAAGGUGAAAAGCACCCCUGUGAGGGGAGUGAAAUAGUACCUGAAACCGUAUGCCUACAAGCAGUGGGAGGGCUAUGCCUGGACUUCGGUCCGGGAAUGCCUGACCGCGUGCCUUUUGCAUAAUGAGCCGGCUAGUUGUUCUCAGUGGCGAGGUUAAGCGUAAGCGAGCCGCAGCGAAAGCGAGUCCGAAUGGGGCGUUUAGUCGCUGGGAACAGACGCGAANCGGGGUGAUCUACCCAUGGCCAGGGUGAAGUACGGGUAACACCGUAUGGAGGCCCGAACCAGUGUUGGUUGAAAACAGCUUGGAUGANCUGUGGGUAGGGGUGAAAGGCUUAUCAAACUCCGUGAUUGCCCGUUCUCUUCCAAAUGCUUUUAAGAGCAGCCUCGGAUGGUCGGUGGUGGUGGUAGAGCGCUGGAUGGACUAGGGGCCUUACCAGGUUACUGAAUCCAACCAAACUUCGAAUUCCAUCCGGGAGUGAGACAGUGGGGGCUAAGC
rnacentral:rRNA from 1 species